rnacentral:sRNA from 1 species
CAUUUGCAGCGGGUCUUCGUCGCGGCGUUCGCAACCAAAAAAAAAAAGAAAAAGAAAGAAAACUAUAAGAGGCAGGGACGGCGAUGCACAGACGAUGAAGCUGCCUCCGUCUCCCAGAAAUGAAGGACACCAGCAUAUGGAUGCCGGCUAGAGAGAUGAGAUGGACAGUUUUGGGGCUGUUUGGGGAGGAAGUUGAUUAGCUACCUGGGACAUUGGACAGCAGCAAAUGAGCUGAGCAAAUGCUGCAAAUGGAUCAUCUUGUCCAAUUUCGGAUGAGAGGAGGAUUUUGUUGUAAAAAUCUGUUUAUGUGUUUUUAAUAUCAUACAAACCAAUACUUUCUCAGAGAUAACUAUUAUAAAAUAAAGAAAAUAUUGUGGUUUCGGUUGAUGGAUUUUAA